CACGUAGGGCGCAAGCGUUGUCCGGAAUUAUUGGGCGUAAAGAGCUCGUAGGCGGACUGUUGCGUCCGCUGUGAAAACUCGGGGCUUAACCCCGAGCCUGCAGUGGAUACGGGCAGACUAGAGGUAGGUAGGGGAGAAUGGAAUUCCCGGUGUAGCGGUGAAAUGCGCAGAUAUCGGGAGGAACACCGGUGGCGAAGGCGACUUCCUGGCCUGUUCUUGACGCUGAGGCGCGAAAGCUAGGGUAGCAAACGGG
rnacentral:rRNA from 1 species